ensembl:lncRNA
GGCCAAGUCAUAUCGGACUUUUCUCAAUCCCCCGGACUGCAGCAUGCCAGGCUUCCUUGUUCCUCAUCGUCUCCUGGAGUUUGCUCAAAUUCAUGUCCAUUGACUUGGACAGUCAGUUGUUUGAUACAUGGUUCUAACUGUUGCUUCUUGACCUGCAUACAGGUUUCUCAGGAGACAGCAGUCUGUUGUUCCAUGUCCAGUUCUUCUUGACCUGCAUACAGAUUUCUCAGGAGGCAGAUACUGAAACCCCAGCAGGUGGAGGAAGUUAAACACAUGAUGACCAGACAGUAGCCGUGACAUAAGCUGCCACAAUUCUGAGAAUUGGCCUCAAGGAAAUGGAAACAAACCGGCCCUGGAACUGAAGACUAAUUGUACUUAAAACAAUCACCACAUGACCAACUUUAAGAAGACUGGCGGAGCUGACUGUGUCUGCAUGAAGCCCCCUCUGUCUAUAAAAGCUCUUGCCCACUGCUUGUCAGUGGGGGGUGUCAGCCUUUGGACUAGAGUCUGCCCUUUCCCCCACCUCAGUUGCCAGCAUCUGAAAUAAAGUAAACUUACCUUUCCACAAAACUUGUCUUGCUAUUGGCUUUUGAGGGGUGAGUAGCCAGACCUCCACUUUUGGUUACACUUCCUACAGGGGCAGCCUUGGAAAGGAGGCAGGACAGAGGUUCAGGAAGGCAAAUGAAGGAGAGAAGGGCUCUUCAAUCUUCGUCCUUCAACAGUAACAACUGACAUGGACAGAGGACUGUCUUUUGCCAGACACCAUCCUGAGAGCCUUAACAUGUAAC